UUUGUUGGAGAGUUUGAUCCUGGCUCAGGAUGAACGCUGGCGGCGUGCUUAACACAUGCAAGUCGAACGGGAUCCAAGAAGUGCUUGCACUUUUUGGUGAGAGUGGCGAACGGGUGAGUAACACGUGAGUAACCUGUCCUUUUCUUUGGGAUAAGCUUCCGAAAGGGUGUUUAAUACCUUAUGUUCUGUCUGCCUCGCAUGGGGUGGGUGGGAAAGAUUUUUUCGGGAAAGGGUGGGCUCGCGGUCUAUCAGCUUGUUGGUGGGGUGAUGGCCUACCAAGGCUUUGACGGGUAGCCGGCCUGAGAGGGUGGUCGGUCACAUUGGGACUGAGAUACGGCCCAGACUCCUGCGGGAGGCAGCAGUGGGGGAUAUUGCACAAUGGGCGAAAGCCUGAUGCAGCGACGCCGCGUGGGGGAUGAAGGCCUUCGGGUUGUAAACUUCUUUUGCUCUGAACAAGGCGCACCGUGGGGUGUGUUGAGUGUAGGGGUUGAUUAGCGCCGGCUAACUACGUGCCAGCAGCCGCGGUAAUACGUAGGGCGCGAGCGUUGUCCGGAAUUAUUGGGCGUAAAGGGCUUGUAGGUGGCUGGUUGCGUCUGUCGUGAAAGCUCAUGGCUUAACUGUGGGUUUGCGGUGGGUACGGGCUGGCUUGAGUGCAGUAGGGGAGGCUGGAAUUCCUGGUGUAGCGGUGGAAUGCGCAGAUAUCAGGAGGAAUACCGGUGGCGAAGGCGGGUCUCUGGGCUGUUACUGACACUGAGGAGCGAAAGCAUGGGGAGCGAACAGGAUUAGAUACCCUGGUAGUCCAUGCUGUAAACGGUGGGAACUGGGUGUGGGGGGCUUUUUUGUCUUCUGCGUCGUAGCUAACGCGUUAAGUUCCCCGCCUGGGGAGUACGGUCGCAAGGCUAAAACUCAAAGGAAUUGACGGGGGCCCGCACAAGCGGCGGAGCAUGCGGAUUAAUUCGAUGCAACGCGAAGAACCUUACCAAGGCUUGACAUGCACUGGACCGAUCCAGAGAUGGGUUUUCCUUUUUGGCUGGUGUGCAGGUGGUGCAUGGUUGUCGUCAGCUCGUGUCGUGAGAUGUUGGGUUAAGUCCCGCAACGAGCGCAACCCUUGUCCUAUGUUGCCAGCAAGUUGUGUUGGGGACUCGUGGGAGACUGCCGGGGUUAACUCGGAGGAAGGUGGGGAUGACGUCAAAUCAUCAUGCCCCUUAUGUCUUGGGCUUCACGCAUGCUACAUUGGCGUCUACAGAGGGUUGCGAUACCGUAAGGUGGGGCGAAUCUCUUAAAGGGCGUCUUGGUUCGGAUCGGGGUCUGCAACUCGGCCCCGUGAAGGUGGAGUCGCUAGUAAUCGCAGAUCAGCAACGCUGCGGUGAAUACGUUCUCGGGCCUUGUACACACCGCCCGUCACGUCACGAAAGUUGGUAACACUCGAAGCUUGUGGCCUAACUCUUUUUGAGGGGGAGCGGGUGAAGGUGGGGCUAGCGAUUGGGACGAAGUCGUAACAAGGUAGCCGUACCGGAAGGUGCGGCUGGAUCACCUCCUUUCUAGGGAG
rnacentral:rRNA from 1 species